rnacentral:sRNA from 1 species
UAAUUUCAGAAGUCUACAGAGCAAAUGAAGAAGGUCCCUACUAUUAUUCUUUCUGUCUCAUAUAAAGGAGUCAAAUUUAUUGAUGCAACAAAUAAGAACAUAAUUGCUGAGCAUGAAAUUCGUAAUAUCUCCUGUGCUGCCCAGGACCCUGAAGACCUCUCAACAUUUGCCUAUAUCACAAAAGAUUUGAAGUCCAAUCACCACUACUGUCACGUGUUUACUGCCUUUGAUGUGGUGAGUACCCACCCCCUUCCAACAGAUUAAAGACUUUCCAGAAUGGGC